rnacentral:rRNA from 1 species
CUCCUGUAAAAUCCCAUCAUCUCAUGAGGCUAGUCACAAUGGGGAGGAACUUAGGAGUAACAUCACACACUCCAAUACAACUUUGCUUAUGUGGCACAUAUUUAAUGAAGAGAGAGGUGCUUGUGGUAACUAGCUAAGUUACCGGAACAUCACACACUCCAAGAAACAAUGAGUCUAUAACCUAAUAAAUACAUUGUUGCAUGACACUACAUAGAUGUUCCUACCCACUAUGGAGGUAGUAACAUAGUCUAGGAAAGUGUGUAAGUUACUAGCUUAUGUUCUUGCCCAUUGUGACCAGCCUGAUUGAGGGUGCCAUUGAAGUGCAUCAUGAGAACACCCUCACCUAGUGGAAGCUCUUUACGAAACCCGAGCACCAUAAUUUGGUCAUCC